AAUAAAUCAAAACUUUCAACAACGGAUCUCUUGGUUCUGGCAUCGAUGAAGAACGCAGCAAAAUGCGAUAAGUAAUGUGAAUUGCAGAAUUCAGUGAAUCAUCGAAUCUUUGAACGCACAUUGCGCCCGCCAGU
rnacentral:rRNA from 1 species